rnacentral:lncRNA from 1 species
AGAAAAAUAGCGUAGACUAUAUUGGGGGAAAACAGUUUGUCUUUGUGACUGCAUUGGAAGCCAAAUCACUUUUAUUAAUCACUAUGCAGAAAUCUUUAUAGAGGAAUCCAAUUUACAAGGUAUGUUAUAUGUAAUUCUUACCCACAGUUUCGUUUUCAGAGUAAUUGGGAUGAAGGGAUAUUAAUUCUAAUGAUUAGCUAAUGAUUGUGAGGAGAAUUAUUUGGCAAUGUUUGAUAGAAACCACAAAGCUAAUGCUAUGAAAUAUAUUGGAUGUAGUUUCGGUUGCCACUUUUUUUAAAUAGAAAAUAUAUGAUUAACUAAUUUGGUUGUAAAUAAUGGAAAGUGAAAAUUGUAGUAGCAUAAUAGUUAUGUAAUGAAGAUUGAAUAUGAAAUGGUUUAAUGAAAUAAAGUAACCAAUUUUGUUAGCAUGAGAAAUCUGGAUUUCGGAAAAGGUGGGUUAAAAUGCGAGACCACAGUUUUGUUAAUUUUAUUUUUUUCUAUCGUUGAAAAUGCCACAUUUGAUGUUAAUCGUAUACAAAUUUUUAUUUUGACUCGUCCUAAGAUUAUAAAAAUUAUUCACUUAGAUUAAUUAAGAUGUGUUAUUCAAUAUUUUUGAUAGAUCGAGGCCAUUAGAGGCCAUCUGAUUGGUGUUCUUGCAAGGUUGGGAAACUUCCCAUUAGCGAGGUAAGUGAGACUUUAAGUUUUGAUGCUCGCUUUUCUAAAACCCGUUUUGAAAGUAUGUUUUUUUCUGCUCGGUCCAUAUGUUGGGACAAGCGUGCGCUUGGCAGAAUCGGUGGUCGUUGACCAGCCGCAAAUAUAUAUUAUUUUGUAAAAAGCUAAAAUUAUUUAAUGAGUAAUUUGUGAUGUGGUGUGAUGUGGCGUAGCCUCGUGCUAUGUCGUUGAGGCUUUAGAAUUUAUUCCUUCACUGUCGUAACAUAUAUUGGGGCAUUGUGUAUGCCGCCGUUAUAAAUUUUGGAUCAUUGUGUAUGCCGCCGUUAUAAAUUUGGGGCAUUGUGUAUGCUGUCGAUAUAAAAUUUGGGGCAUUGUGUAUGUCACCGUUAUAAAUUUGGGGCAUUGUGUAUGACGCCAUGAAAGAUUUGAGGCAUUGUGUAUGCCGCCAUGAAAGAUUUGAGGCAUUGUGUAUGUUGUGGACUCGUCGGGGUAUUUGGUUAAUUUCCUGCACUGCCAUUAAUGACAAGUCCUUAAUGUAGAUUGUGUUGAGAUAUAUAUAAUGUUGUUGUUGAAUAAUUAUUUGGACCUUAUAGAGUAAUUAUAUGGUGAAAGAAUUUAUGUGCAUAUUAUUUUUGUGCUCUUUGUGUGUUUGUAUUUUCUAACACUUGUUCCAGAGGUAUUCAGAGUGGCAGGUCGAUGAUCUUACUGGGUUAUAUUUACGUAUAACUCACUUCUUACCUGCAUAUCCAUGCAGAUACUAUUGGUGAAAACGGAGCUAGUAGCCGACGAGUUCGCUAGAGCUGAUUCAGUUAUUGAGGUGAGCCGCCGCAUUGUUCGUGGAGGCUGCCCAAAUAUUCUUUAUCAUUUAUUCAUAUGAGGUCUUUUGUAAUUCUCUUAGAUGUUCCAUGGUCUAGUGUGGGAUUUAGGCUAGAGUGUUAAUCUUAUAUUUUGAGAUAUUAAUUGUUCGUAAUAGUUAUCAGAUUAUUUGGAUACUCAUUUAAUUAAUCAAAUGUUGUAAAUUAAUGGCUAAGGUAAGAAAGUAUGGUUCGCCCGACAAGUGGUGUUAGCUGGGUGUUAGUCACGUCUAGGAGGUAGUUUUGGACGUGACAAAGUUGGUAUCAGAGCUUAGGCUUUAAGUCCCGAGUCAUGGAACAGUGUUUAGUAGAUUCUUGCUUAUGGAUAUGUAGGCGCCCAUACUUAUGAUCUUGAGACUACUAAGCAUUUAGGAUGUUUCCGUUUCUUUCCUUCCUUCUUCGUGCGUUAAGCUGUAUAGAACUUAAACUUGGGAUGUCUAUCUUAACAGACGGCUAGGACACACGUAUCCUCCUCAGCUGGACGAUGCAGAUAACUUUGAAAGUAGCAAUAAUAUUUGUACGGCUAAGAGUAGUCUCUAAUACAUGGGAUGUGUGUGCAUGGUUAUAACUGAGAUUGAAGAUAUUUUAAAUUUUGGGUUAAUUGAUUUUAGUGAUA